CAUCUUCCUCUAUAAUACCAUGCAAAUUUAGUUAUUUAAAAAAAAUAUUUGAAUAAUAUUAUGUCAUGGGAGCGCCAUAACUAUUUAUACUCGCGCGUGGUGGUCACGACACUAGUUGCAGUCUUCUCCUGAACAGAGGUGUCACAACUGAGGAAAGGCUACCGACUUUUGCUAUUUCUACGGACUAGAAGAAGAAGAAAAAGAUGAUAUUGGAGUCAAUGGAUGAGGAAGAACAGCUGCUUUUGAGCCUGCUUGCAA